UGGUUAGGACUGUMUGCUAUCAUCUAGGCUUCGGCCUGGAUGCACUUGCWGGCUAUGCCUGCCAACGACAAUUUGACUUGAGGRAAAAAACWAGGGGAAAUGUGGCCCACUUGUGGUGUUAUAGUCCCUUAGAAAAUACCUUGGGUUGGAUUGAGGAACGCAGCGAAUGCUURUUGGCGAGUUUUCCAGGAAGGUUUUCUGAGGUACUACGGUAUCAAGGUUGAUCUWUUUGGUUAUACUUCUAUUCGCUUAGGUUGUUGGCUUAAUGACUCUAAAUGACCCGUCUUGAAACACGGACCAAGGAGUC
rnacentral:rRNA from 1 species